GAGUUUGAUCCUGGCUCAGAUUGAACGCUGGCGGAAUGCUUUACACAUGCAAGUCGAACGGCAGCACGGGGCAACCUGGUGGCGAGUGGCGAACGGGUGAGUAAUACAUCGGAACGUGCCCAAUCGUGGGGGAUAACGUAGCGAAAGUUACGCUAAUACCGCAUACGAUCUACGGAUGAAAGCGGGGGAUCGCAAGACCUCGCGCGAAUGGAGCGGCCGAUGUCAGAUUAGGUAGUUGGUGGGGUAAAGGCUCACCAAGCCAACGAUCUGUAGCUGGUCUGAGAGGACGACCAGCCACACUGGGACUGAGACACGGCCCAGACUCCUACGGGAGGCAGCAGUGGGGAAUUUUGGACAAUGGGCGCAAGCCUGAUCCAGCCAUUCCGCGUGCAGGAUGAAGGCCUUCGGGUUGUAAACUGCUUUUGUACGGAACGAAACGGUUCUCUCUAAUACAGGGGGCUAAUGACGGUACCGUAAGAAUAAGCACCGGCUAACUACGUG
rnacentral:rRNA from 1 species